AAAGGAGGUGGUGUUUGAGUGAAGUCUUGAGGUCCCCAGGGCUGCUUACCGGGCAGUGUGGAUGGCGUGGAGUGGGAUGGUGAAGGAUGGGGCCAGAGGAAGGAAGGACAUGCCCACCCAGCCGUGUUUGGGAUGCUGCCUCCCUGGAGAGGGGUCAUGAAGCCUAGCAGGCAGUGGAGCCCAGGGCCUUUCCCAUUAAAUGGUACUGGGUGCUCUCUGGUCAUCGGCUCCACAGUCUGGAUGGAUGUUUUGCCUCCAAUCUGAAGCUUAGACAAGGCACGAGGGUCAAGGAUCCCUUCUCGGGACCCAUCAACAUCUGUAUUCCCCCACCUGGGGAAGGAUGCUGGUUUUCUUCAUUAUGCACCCCCCAUCUUUAGAAAAUCACCUUGGUUGGCAUAUUCAGCCAGCAAGAAAGAGAGGAUCAUCAGGCGCAGUGGCUCACACCCGUAAUCCCAGCACUUUGGGUGGCCGAGGAGGGCAGAUCACAAGGUCAAGAGAUCGAGACCAUCCUGGCCAACAUGGUGAAACCCCGUCUCUACUAAAAAUACAAAAAUUAGCUAGGCAUGAUAGCCUGUGCCUGUAGUCCCAGCUACUCGGGAGGCCGAGGGAGGAGAAUUGCUUGAACCCGGGAGGUGGAAGUUGUUAUGAGCCAAUAUUGUGCCAUUGCACCCCAGCCUGGUGACACAGCGAGACUCUGUUGCAAAAAAAAAAAAAAAAAAAAGGAUCAAAGAGGAGUCUAUAAAGCAUCAACUCAAAGUGACAAGAAGUGGACACAUAUUCUAAGGGAGCUCCCCAAGACAAAAGGAAGAUGGAGGAAAUGGUCUCUGAAGGCUCAAAGCAGCUCCCCCUGCCCCGUGUAAAGCGCUGAUGAGAUGGCAAUUUAAACUGCUUUGAUGACCAGGUUUCGUUAGG